ACAGGCUUAACACAUGCAAGUCGAGGGGCAGCACAGGUAGCAAUACCGGGAGGCGACCGGCGCACGGGUGAGUAACGCGUAUGCAACUUACCUAUCAAAGGGGGAUAACCCGCGCGAAAGUCGGACUAAUACCGCAUGAGGCAGGGGCCCCGCAUGGGGAUAUUUGCUAAAGAUUCAUCGCUGAUAGAUAGGCGUGCGUUCCAUUAUGCAGUUGGCGGGGUAACGGCCCACCAAACCGACGAUGGAUAGGGGUUCUGAGAGGAACGUCCCCCACAUUGGUACUGACACACGGACCAUACUCCUACGGGAGGCAUCAGUGAGGAAUAUUGGUCAAUGGCCGAGAGGCUGAGCCAGCCAAGUCGCGUGAGGGAUGAAGGUUCUAUGGAUCGUAAACCUCUUUUAUAAGGGAAUAAAGUGCGGGACGUGUCCCGUUUUGUAUGUACCUUAUGAAUAAGGAUCGGCUAACUCCGUGCCAGCAGCCGCGGUAAUACGGAGGAUCCGAGCGUUAUCCGGAUUUAUUGAGUUUAAAGGGAGCGUAAGCGGCCUUUUAAGUCAGCGGUGAAAGUCUGUGGCUCAACCAUAUAAUUGCCGUUGAAACUGGGGGGCUUGAAUAUGUUUGAGGCAUGCGGAAUGCGUGGUGUAGCGCUGAAAUGCAUAGAUAUCACGCAGAACCCCGAUUGCGAAGGUAGCCUGCCAAGCCAUGACUGACGCUGAUGCACGAAAGCGUGGGGAUCAAACAGGAUUAGAUACCCUGGUAGUCCACGCAGUAAACGAUGAUCACUAGCUGUUUGCGAUACACUGUAAGCGGCACAGCGAAAGCGUUAAGUGAUCCACCUGGGGAGUACGCCGGCAACGGUGAAACUCAAAGGAAUUGACGGGGGCCCGCACAAGCGGAGGAACAUGUGGUUUAAUUCGAUGAUACGCGAGGAACCUUACCCGGGUUUGAACGCAUUCGGACUGAGGUGGAAACACCUUUUCUAGCAAUAGCCGUUUGCGAGGUGCUGCAUGGUUGUCGUCAGCUCGUGCCGUGAGGUGUCGGCUUAAGUGCCAUAACGAGCGCAACCCUUGCCACUAGUUACUAACAGGUAAAGCUGAGGACUCUGGUGGGACUGCCAGCGUAAGCUGCGAGGAAGGCGGGGAUGACGUCAAAUCAGCACGGCCCUUACAUCCGGGGCGACACACGUGUUACAAUGGCGUGGACAAAGGGAGGCCACCUGGUGACAGGGAGCGAAUCCCCAAACCACGUCUCAGUUCGGAUCGGAGUCUGCAACCCGACUCCGUGAAGCUGGAUUCGCUAGUAAUCGCGCAUCAGCCAUGGCGCGGUGAAUACGUUCCCGGGCCUUGUACACACCGCCCGUCAAGCCAUGGGAGCCGGGGGUACCUGAAGUCCGUAACCGAAAGGAUCGGCCUAGGGUAAAACUGGUGACUGGGGCUAAGUCAUAA
rnacentral:rRNA from 1 species